AUUUUGGACUAUGGGGGCCACCCUGAUCUAGCCAUCCCGCGUGUGCGAUGAAGGCCUUCGGGUUGUAAAGCACUUUUGGCAGGGCAGAAAAGGCUCUGGCUACUACCCUUACCUGCUGUCUGUACCUGCAGAAUAAGUACCGGCCAACGACGUGCUCGCAGCCGCGGUAAUACGUAGGGUGCAAGCGUUUAUCGGAAUUACUGGGCGUAAAGCGUGCGCAGGCGGUUCGGCAAGAAGGAUGUGAAGUCCCAGGGCUUAACUUUGGAACUGCAUUCUUAACUGCCGGGCUAGAGUAUGUCAGAGGGGGGUAGAAUUCCGCGUGUAGCAGUGAAAUGCGUAGAGAUGCGGAGGAAUACCGAUGGCGAAGGCAGCCCCCUGGGAUAAUACUGACGCUCAUGCACGAAAGCGUGGGGAGCAAAC
rnacentral:rRNA from 1 species